AUUGAACGCUGGCGGCAUGCCUUACACAUGCAAGUCGAACGGCAGCACGGGAGCAAUCCUGGUGGCGAGUGGCGAACGGGUGAGUAAUAUAUCGGAACGUGCCCGGUCGUGGGGGAUAACGUAGCGAAAGCUACGCUAAUACCGCAUACGAUCUACGGAUGAAAGCGGGGGAUCGCAAGACCUCGCGCGAUUGGAGCGGCCGAUAUCAGAUUAGGUAGUUGGUGAGGUAAAGGCUCACCAAGCCGACGAUCUGUAGCUGGUCUGAGAGGACGAUCAGCCACACUGGGACUGAGACACGGCCCAGACUCCUACGGGAGGCAGCAGUGGGGGAAUUUUUGGGACAAUGGGCGCAAGCCUGAUCCAGCAAUGCCGCGUGCAGGAUGAAGGCCUUCGGGUUGGUUAAACGUAGACGUUUGUUACGGUAACGGAAACGGUA
rnacentral:rRNA from 1 species